rnacentral:rRNA from 1 species
AUUCCAGCUCCAGUAGCGUAUAUUAAAGUUGUUGCAGUUAAAAAGCUCGUAGUUGGAUUUCUGGCUUGAGACGCCUGAGCCGCCAGGGUUACCUGUGUGAGUCUCGGUGUGUCUCUGCCAUCCUUCUGGAUAGCGUGUCUACCUUUUAUUAGGCCGGGCUCGUGCUCCAGAUCUUUUACUUUGAAAAAAUUAGAGUGUUUAAAGCAAGCUUGCGCUAUGAAUACAUUAGCAUGGAAUAAUAACUUAGGACUUUGGUUCUAUUUUGUUGGUUUCUAGGACUGAAGUAAUGAUUGAUAGGGAUAGUUGGGGGUGCUAGUAUUCAGCGGCCAGAGGUGAAAUUCUUGGAUUCGCUGAAGACUAACUUAUGCGAAAGCAUUCACCAAGGAUGUCUUCAUCA